rnacentral:lncRNA from 1 species
GGUAAUGUAUGACUGACACACAAUAACCCAGAACUUAAGAACCAGAUAAGCAUAAUCCUGCAAAAUAGAUCCUCUGGAAAACUCUAUGGUAACUACAAUGAUCUUGCCCAUAGCAUCACUGAUUCUGGAGCCGCUUUAGAAUGAUCUCUAAAAAGAUAUAGCUUUUUCUUUCUAUUAGGAAAGCCCAGGAACAUCAUAAACAUAUUAAGAGAUUUCCUACUCAUCACUAGUAACUGAAAAUGAACUGAAGAGGAGUAGGCUCAGUCCCACUGUUAAGGUCCCUGCAAGGAAUGGCAAAGAGCAAGAUCACCAACCAGGAUGCUCUCGACCUCCAGUUAUUCCAGGGGGUCAUGUUCUGAGCAGCAACAUGGCCUGAGGAGCUAAUCACCCCUGAGUAGUUGGUAAAUGCCUACCUAACAUGCUCCCAUUUUGAGGACAAGAAAAUGAAGGGAAAAAAUACUUCAAAAUGUGUGUGUUGGUUCACUCAUUUAAAAAAGGAUCAUAAAUGAUAAAAGAUAACCUGAUGUAUUAAACCACUAACAAUAACAUCAUCAGCACUUACUGGAAAGUUACCGAUCUACUAGCUGCACA